rnacentral:rRNA from 1 species
UAGCUAGUUGGUGAGGUAAAGGCUUACCAAGGCGACGAUCUGUAGCGGGUCUGAGAGGAUGAUCCGCCACACUGGAACUGAGACACGGUCCAGACUCCUACGGGAGGCAGCAGUGGGGAAUUUUGGACAAUGGGGGCAACCCUGAUCCAGCCAUGCCGCGUGAGUGAAGAAGGCCUUCGGGUUGUAAAGCUCUUUCGGCCGGGAAGAAAUCGCAUGGGCCAAUACCCUGUGUGGAUGACGGUACCGGAAUAAGAAGCACCGGCUAACUACGUGCCAGCAGCCGCGGUAAUACGUAGGGUGCGAGCGUUAAUCGGAAUUACUGGGCGUAAAGCGUGCGCAGGCGGUUUUGUAAGACAGGCGUGAAAUCCCCGGGCUUAACCUGGGAACUGCGUUUGUGACUGCAAGGCUAGAGUACGGCAGAGGGGGGUGGAAUUCCACGUGUAGCAGUGAAAUGCGUAGAGAUGUGGAGGAACACCAAUGGCGAAGGCAGCCCCCUGGGUCGAUACUGACGCUCAUGCACGAAAGCGUGGGUAGCAAACAGGAUUAGAUACCCUGGUAGUCCACGCCCUAAACUAUGUCAACUAGGUGUUGGGUGGGUAAAACCAUUUAGUACCGUAGCUAACGCGUGAAGUUGACCGCCUGGGGAGUACGGCCGCAAGGUUAAAACUCAAAGGAAUUGACGGGGACCCGCACAAGCGGUGGAUGAUGUGGAUUAAUUCGAUGCAACGCGAAAAACCUUACCUACCCCUGACAUGCCAGGAACUUGCCAGAGAUGGCUUGGUGCCCGAAAGGGAGCCUGGACACAGGUGCUGCAUGGCUGUCGUCAGCUCGUGUCGUGAGAUGUUGGGUUAAGUCCCGCAACGAGCGCAACCCUUGUCGUUAAUUGCCAUCAUUUAGUUGGGCACUUUAACGAGACUGCCGGUGACAAACCGGAGGAAGGUGGGGAUGACGUCAAGUCCUCAUGGCCCUUAUGGGUAGGGCUUCACACGUUAUACAAUGGUCGGUACAAAGGGUUGCCAAGCCGCGAGGCGGAGCCAAUCCCAGAAAGCCGAUCGUAGUCCGGAUUGCAGGCUGCAACUCGCCUGCAUGAAGUCGGAAUCGCUAGUAAUCGUGGAUCAGCAUGUCACGGUGAAUACGUUCCCGGGUCUUGUACACACCGCCCGUCACACCAUGGGAGCGGGUUCCGCCAGAAGUAGGUAGCCUAACCGCAAGGAGGGCGCUUACACGGCGGGGUUCGUGACUGGGGUGAAGUCGGAACAAGGUAGCCGUAGGGGAACCUGCGGCUG